rfam:Bombyx mori DNA, contig: Bm_scaf3_contig3181, strain: p50T/Dazao, build 2, whole genome shotgun sequence.
UAAAAGUUAACUGUAUGGAGGUGGAACGUUUGCCUACGUUUGCCGCUAGGGGCGCUGUUUCAACUGCAUACAAAUUUGAGUUA